rnacentral:rRNA from 1 species
UUAUACCGCGAAACUGCGAAUGGCUCAUUAUAUAAGUUAUCGUUUAUUUGAUAAUACUUUACUACUUGGAUAACCGUGGUAAUUCUAGAGCUAAUACAUGCUGAAAAUCCCGACUUCGGAAGGGAUGUAUUUAUUAGAUUAAAAACCAAUGCCCCUCGGGGCUCUCUGGUGAAUCAUGAUAACUAGUCGAAUCGACAGGCCUUGUGCCGGCGAUGGCUCAUUCAAAUUUCUUCCCUAUCAACUUUCGAUGUUUGGGUAUUGGCCAAACAUGGUGGCAACGGGUAACGGAGGGUUAGGGCUCGACCCCGGAGAAGGAGCCUGAGAAACGGCUACUACAUCCAAGGAAGGCAGCAGGCGCGCAAAUUACCCAAUCCCGACACGGGGAGGUAGUGACAAUAAAUACUGAUACAGGGCUCUUUUGGGUCUUGUAAUCGGAAUGAGUACAAUUUAAAUCCCUUAACGAGGAACAAUUGGAGGGCAAGUCUGGUGCCAGCAGCCGCGGUAAUUCCAGCUCCAAUAGCGUAUAUUAAAGUUGUUGUGGUUAAAAAGCUCGUAGUUGAACCUUGGGCCUGGCUGGCCGGUCCGCCUCACCGCGUGCACUGGUCCGGCCGGGCCUUUCCCUCUGCGGAACCCCAUGCCCUUCACUGGGUGUGGCGGGGAAACAGGACUUUUACUUUGAAAAAAUUAGAGUGCUCAAGGCAGGCCUAUGCUCGAAUACAUUAGCAUGGAAUAAUAGAAUAGGACGUGUGGUUCUAUUUUGUUGGUUUCUAGGACCGCCGUAAUGAUUAAUAGGGACAGUCGGGGGCAUCAGUAUUCAAUUGUCAGAGGUGAAAUUCUUGGAUUUAUUGAAGACUAACUACUGCGAAAGCAUUUGCCAAGGAUGUUUUCAUUAAUCAGGAACGAAAGUUAGGGGAUCGAAGACGAUCAGAUACCGUCGUAGUCUUAACCAUAAACUAUGCCGACUAGGGAUCGGACGAUGUUACAUUUUUGACGCGUUCGGCACCUUACGAGAAAUCAAAGUGCUGGC